AGCUACACAUGCAAGUCGAGCGGAUGAAGGGAGCUUGCUCCUGGAUUCAGCGGCGGACGGGUGAGUAAUGCCUAGGAAUCUGCCUGGUAGUGGGGGAUAACGUCCGGAAACGGGCGCUAAUACCGCAUACGUCCUGAGGGAGAAAGUGGGGGAUCUUCGGACCUCACGCUAUCAGAUGAGCCUAGGUCGGAUUAGCUAGUUGGUGGGGUAAAGGCCUACCAAGGCGACGAUCCGUAACUGGUCUGAGAGGAUGAUCAGUCACACUGGAACUGAGACACGGUCCAGACUCCUACGGGAGGCAGCAGUGGGGAAUAUUGGACAAUGGGCGAAAGCCUGAUCCAGCCAUGCCGCGUGUGUGAAGAAGGUCUUCGGAUUGUAAAGCACUUUAAGUUGGGAGGAAGGGCAGUAAGUUAAUACCUUGCUGUUUUGACGUUACCAACAGAAUAAGCACCGGCUAACUUCGUGCCAGCAGCCGCGGUAAUACGAAGGGUGCAAGCGUUAAUCGGAAUUACUGGGCGUAAAGCGCGCGUAGGUGGUUCAGCAAGUUGGAUGUGAAAUCCCCGGGCUCAACCUGGGAACUGCAUCCAAAACUACUGAGCUAGAGUACGGUAGAGGGUGGUGGAAUUUCCUGUGUAGCGGUGAAAUGCGUAGAUAUAGGAAGGAACACCAGUGGCGAAGGCGACCACCUGGACUGAUACUGACACUGAGGUGCGAAAGCGUGGGGAGCAAACAGGAUUAGAUACCCUGGUAGUCCACGCCGUAAACGAUGUCGACUAGCCGUUGGGAUCCUUGAGAUCUUAGUGGCGCAGCUAACGCGAUAAGUCGACCGCCUGGGGGAGUACGGCCGCAAGGUUAAAACUCAAAUGAAUUGACGGGGGCCCGCACAAGCGGUGG
rnacentral:rRNA from 1 species